rnacentral:rRNA from 1 species
AGCAGCCGCGGUAAUUCCAGCUCCAAUAGCGUAUAUUAAAGUUGUUGCAGUUAAAAAGCUCGUAGUUGAAUUUCGGAAUCUGUCCAUCGGUCGGGCUUCACUGUCCGUACUGGUGUGGUGGGUUCUUACCUUCUGAAUAACCAGCAUGCCAUUAAUUUGGUGCGUUGGGGAAGCAGGACUAUUACCUUGAAAAAAUUAGAGUGCUCAAAGCAGGCCAGUGCCUGAAUACAUUAGCAUGGAAUAAUAAAAUAGGACGGCAUGGUUCUAUUUUGUUGGUUUCUAGGAUCACCGUAACGAUUAAUAGGGAUAGUUGGGGGCAUUAGUAUUCAAUUGUCAGAGGUGAAAUUCUUGGAUUUAUUGAAGACUAACUUCUGCGAAAGCAUUUGCCAAGGAUGUUUUCAUUAAUCAAGAACGAAAGUUAGGGGAUCGAAGACGAUCAGAUACCGUCGUAGUCUUAACCAUAAACUAUGCCGACUAGGGAUCGGACGAUGUUAAUUUUUUAANGACUCGUUCGGCGCCU